rnacentral:rRNA from 1 species
GACGAACGCUGGCGGCGUGCUUAACACAUGCAAGUCGAACGGAAAGGCCCGGCUUUUGUGGGGGGCUCGAGUGGCGAACGGGUGAGUAACACGUGAGUAACCUGCCCUUGACUUUGGGAUAACUUCAGGAAACUGGGGCUAAUACCGGAUAGGAGCUCCUGCUGCAUGGUGGGGGUUGGAAAGUUUCGGCGGUUGGGGAUGGACUCGCGGCUUAUCAGCUUGUGGGUGGGGUAGUGGCUUACCAAGGCUUUGACGGGUAGCCGGCCUGAGAGGGUGACCGGCCACAUUGGGACUGAGAUACGGCCCAGACUCCUACGGGAGGCAGCAGUGGGGAAUAUUGCACAAUGGGCGGAAGCCUGAUGCAGCCACGCCGCGUGCGGGAUGACGGCCUUCGGGUUGUAAACCGCUUUCGCCUGUGACGAAGCGUGAGUGACGGUAAUGGGUAAAGAAGCACCGGCUAACUCCGUG